UUGGACUAGAAAAGCAUGAAGGCGCACGUUUAAAAUGGUUUGAACUUUUAAUCUCCACACGAGGUGGAGACGAUAAACUCACCCCCGGACAAUUACUGGUACGGCUGAUUAUGUAAAGUAUCUUCAAAAAAACGAAUUUAAGUAGGGCCAUCCUGUUACUCUGCUCAAAACAUCGUAUUGCGCUACUCUCAUCACCCCAUUGGGGAACCAUCGAUACGCUGGCUAAGGCUAUCUUCAAAGAAGCAUCUUUAAGAGCGAAUGGAAGGAAACUCAACUAUGUAGUUCUGUUCAGGACGAUACGACAAGUCACCGGAUACCGGACAGCUAUGAAGAAGGAAAACGGGAGAAUAAUUUUUGGAACCAUUUCGGACAAUCAGAGCUUUACAAGCGAAUGGGCCCAACCCCCUUUCCAAGGUGGACGUCAAUCAAGUUGUAGAAACAUCUCAAGGGGGGACCUGAGCUCAAUUUUGAGUCUCAUCGCAAAGGGUUUGAAUACUGAUGUAAAUAAGGGCACAGUGAGUGAGCAAGGAGCAGGUCCAAUUGGGUCGGGAGAUAAAGGCACAGCAAUGCUGUGCCCAAGGCGGGCCCCCACCACCCCAUGCCUAUCACCACAACGACCGAGGAGGAGGAGGAGGCCAAGGACACGCUAGCUGCAUCUCCAAUUUCAUACAUAUGCAUACCAUCUGUCUGGAUAAACACAGAAGCUUACAGUGUUAUGAUCUAUUAUGCUGCUGUCCCUGCCUGCUGCCUGCUGCUACAGUACAGUUGCUUCUGAAGUGUUUAGCGAGCAAUUCCGAGAGGCAGUUAAAAUGUGUGUUAAAUUUGGUUGUUGUGGUUGUCAUUGUCACUAAGCAAUAAGCCGGGGCUGCCUUGCUAACUGGUGACGGCAGUAACACAGAGGAGAUUUCAGGUUUUCUGACGUCUCUGCUUUACUGCGGCAGAAUAAACAAACAGCAGAACCUAUGGAGGAUAUCAUUGGAAGACAGAUCCCUCCGUUUACCCCCCUUUACUCCCCUUUGCAUCGAGACGAAACUGGGCUGCUGCAGAUCCUUCAUCCCUUGCAUUUACAGUAGGCAUCAGGAGGAAUUAGCAUAAUCAACGACUUCAGAGUCAGCACAAUUAGGCUUAUUUAUGGUGGUACUAAAUGAGAGGAUAAGACUAUCUCUGUUCAUUCAUCAGAGCUCAUCACAUUACUAACAGAAUCAAUGAGAGGCCUAACCGAUUCCUCAUUAUGGUUCUUAAUAACGAGCACAGAG